rnacentral:rRNA from 1 species
UACGUAGGGGGCUAGCGUUGUCCGGAAUCAUUGGGCGUAAAGAGCGUGUAGGCGGCCCGGUAAGUCCGCUGUAAAAGUCAAAGGCUCAACCUUUGAAUGUCAGUGGAUACUGCCGUGACUCGAGUCCGGUAGGGGAGUGUGGAAUUCCCGGUGUAGCGGUGAAAUGCGCAGAUAUCGGGAGGAACACCAGUAGCGAAGGCGGCACUCUGGGCCGGUACUGACGCUGAGGAGCGAAAGCGUGGGGAGCGAACAGG